rnacentral:lncRNA from 1 species
AAAGAGAUUUGGAAGUGAAGUUUGAGACCAAAGAAAAGCAACUGGCAGAGGAGAAUGCAGGUUUACAAGCUCGAAUUUCAGAACUCGAAUCAAUGUCUAAAGAGAGAGAAGCUGAACUUUCUGCUCUCACGAAGAAAAUUGAGGAGACCUAUAGUGAACAUAGUCAGGUACAGGAGCAAUUAGGUCAGAGGGAAAUGGAGUAUUCAACUCUGUCUGAGAGGCACAGGCUGCAUCAGGACGAAACAUUGGCACAAAUAAAGGGAUGGGAGGAUAAAGUAACAGAGCUGGAAUCAGUUCUCGAGUCUUUGCAAGGCGAGAAAAGAGAUAUGGAAGUGAAGUCUGAGAGCAAAGAAAAGCAACUGGUAGAGGAGAAUGCAGGUUUACAAGCUCAAAUUUCAGAACUGGAAUCAUUGUCAAAAGAGAAAGAAGCUGAACUUUCUGCUCUCACGAAGAAAUUUGAGGAGACCAAUAAUGAACAUGGUCAGGUACGGGAGCAAUUAGGUCAGAGGGAAAUGGAGUAUUCAACUCUGUCUGAGAGGCACAGGCUGCAUCAGGACGAAACAUUGGCACAAAUAAAGGGAUUGGAGGAUAAAGUAACUGAGCUGGAAGUGGCCC